rnacentral:lncRNA from 1 species
GGAAUCGUAUAUAUGCAUUGCUAAUUAGUAUACUAGGGUUUAGUUUCUAAUUAAGUAGACAGGCCGGUGUGUAUCGAUGUCUUUGAAAAAUAACAGACUUCGUUAUUGAUUGACGGUAUUCUAGCUUAGUUAUUACUAAGUAACUUGUAACUUAAUUAUUGAAACAUUUGCUUAGUUCUCUCGACGUUCAAUCCCCAUAAUUCUCAUAAUUACAUUGCUCUUCAGUUUAUUAGUCUAUAUAUGUAUCAAAAGAAAACAAAUUAAAAACAAAAGAUAAACCUCGAAUCAACACAUUUCACCAUUAAUUAUCAAAUAUAAACUUAUCCGUCCAAUAAUUUGCAAUGUGAUAUUUUAAAAAUAGAAACAUGCAUGUUAAUAGUGAGAAAUUGAAAUGACCGAUUUAUACCUAUAAAACCAUCCUUGUUGUUGAGAAAUUGAAGCUAUGAAAAAUCCGCAUUCAAAGUUUCGGCUCCUGCAAUAUAAAUAAUGAGAUCUUCUUAGAAUUUAGAAAAAAGAAAGAAAAAAAAAUGCACAAAUGCAUAGCAAAUAGGAUCUUAAGACUGAAAUAAACAAAAAACAAAAAACAAAAAAGAGGCCGGGACACAUACAUAGCAGGCAAUUGCAUGUAAUAGUAUCGAAAAAGAGUGAAAAAGAAGAAGAAAUGGAUGCUAGCGCUGGAUCAUCUAAGCAGAGAGAAAUGAUUGCACCUGACUCAUUAGUCCUCUCCUGCAGUUUAGCUCAAGUCCCGAUGGUGAUCCUCCUUGUCUUCCUAGCUAUAUAUAAAUAUGACAGUGACCCUGCCUAAACCUGUGUAAUUCGUACCCAGGAUUGGACAGUCACACUUUUUUAACAACCAGACUACACUAGACUGUAAAAAGUAGCAUGCACAGCAGCAAUCUUUUCUUUCCAACCAACUAUCCAACCUCCCUCCUCCUCUAUCUCCUCCUUUAACCCUAAAGUACGCAUUGUUCUUCCUCCUCCAUCGUUACACACACGUUAUCCUCUCUGCUCCUCUCACUCAUUAUAGUAUUCUCCGUUCCCCCACUACUAAAGCCUGCAUGCCCUUUAUUCUUCUGUAACAGAGCUCAGUGAGAGAGACAGAGAGAGCCAAGGGCUUGUGUGAUCUGCAUCGUGAUUCUUUCAUGCCAAUUAUGCAAGGGGUACUAAAUUAAGAAAUGGGUUGUCUGAUUGGCUUUUAGGACACGUAAAAUUGAAGCCAACCCCGAGUUGUAAUUGUAUAGUAUUAGAAUAUGCUAUAUGUCUACGUACCAAGAUCGAGAUGGCGUCUGUCUGAGUGAUGUGGCCCGCCUGGAGACAUGAAACCUUUUUGAGGAUUUCAGGUCCCGAGAGAUCGAUAUACAUAUAUAAUUGGCACAUGGGGAAUCCCAUCCUUGCAUGGCCCAGAAGUUAAUAUCAAUCAAUCAACACCAAUUAACUCUUUAGUUUUUUAUUUUCAGUUUCUGUCUUUCUGAUCCCAAUACCUAAUCUCUGAGUUCAACUCAUAAUUUAAUUCCUCCUCCCUUCUCUAUCUUUAGGAAAGUAAAUAAUCAUUUAGCUAGCUAGGUUUGGCAUGCCUUCGGUUCUAUUGUUUUAGCUAGCUAAUCAAGAUAGUUGCAGUUCGAAGAGGGGCGCCUUUACUACCUAGGGUUUACUACAGAACAUGGUGUGACUUGAUGAUAAUGAAGCUACUAGGCUUAAUUUUGUAGUUUGAUUGAGAGGCAUAGGCAGAAAGGGUGCUAUGACAUCUUUUAAAAUUUUGGUUUUACAUGUAUUUAGUUUUUGAAAUCUAACUGAAUUAGAGGAUUUUGUUAAUUAUGACACCCUUUUAUUAAUGAUGUCACCCUCAUUUCUAGUCUCUGGCUCCGCCAGUGUUGAGAUUGAGGUCAUCAGACCGAGCGACUAAACUCUUUUCAUUUCUAUCGGUUGAUUAAGUGUGUGACUUGGGUAUAUACUAGAGUACUAUAUAUUUUCUUAACUCAAAUGCCUCAUCAAUUUAGUUUAGCUGAUCGAGAUGUACGUUUUGGGGGUGGAGUUUGGGUCAGUCUCUUGUUUUUGGAACAAAAGAAUCUAGGGAUUCAAAAUGUAGAAGACUUGUAUUAUAGUUUCAAAGCUAUAUUAGGAGUGUUAGGAUUUUACCUAUGGAUUGAUGACCACAGUUUGAUCUUCAGUUGGUGGCCAAGGAUACGUACGUACUUCAUUUGCUUAUUUUGUAUGGAUCGGAGUCGGCAGAGUGAUGGUGAUGCGCAAUAGCUUGCCAAAGGGUCAUUUUCGAAGGGACUUAGAGGUGGGUACCUAGUAGCAUUUUGGGUGAGCUAACUAAUUAAUAAUCGUCUUGAUACCAAAUCGGUCUGGGAGUUAAUUAGGUCAGCUAUUGGAUUACCCAUGCUUUAUGGGAGCUACCUUACGGUUUUAACUUAAAUUAAUCACGUAUCUUUCUUUAGUUACAGCUCUCUGGUCAUACAUCAAACCAGAAAGAAGAAAAUGUCAUUGUGCCUACCAUGAGGGUCAUCAAAGUUUUACUUCUAUUGAUUCAUGCACUAGAGACAUGUCUUGGCAGUUCCUCAGCAGUGUGUGGUACGGAUUUCUUUUUUAUUAUGUCACUUCAGUCUUGCAUGUAUCAUAUACUUGUGCCUACUAAUCAUAUUAAUUACUAGAAUUUUAGUUUUGAUCCUCAUUUGUUACAGAUUCCUAAGCUCUAGUUUAUGUAAUACUUUGACCAUGUUCAAUAAAUAAAAUUUUCAUUCCCAUCCCCUUAAGAAGAAUACAGCAUUUAUUCAAAAAGAGAAACAAAUUAGAAUAAGACCCCAACGAAUCAAAAUGGAUGGUUCUUUUGAUAAGAACAUAGAAGGGGAGGCAUUGGGGUGGCGGGUCGUGAAUCUACUAGACAUUGUCUAAGGGAGCUCUACGAAUCAAUUGCUAACGAGGGCUCAGCAGAGUACAGGUUGAGGCUCUAGCGCGACGAGCUGCUGACUCACUCACUCACAUGCUAUUCAGCAUGAGCUGGCUCAGGUGAUUUUUGAGACCAAUUCACUUCGUAUGGUUCAAGCAACCAAGCAUAGCGUCAUUUCUCAUACUUCCCUUCAAGGACGUGUCUAUGAUAAUUAACUUUACCUUUGAUCUUUUAUAGGUUGUCGGUUCUUAUUUUGUCCAUUAUUAUUGUCAAGCCAAUUUUGUGGCUCACUUUCUAGCUAAUUAUGCACGUUGUAAUUCUCAUAAUGACAUAAUGUCAUUUGGGAUUCUGUUCCAUCUUGCUUUAUUUUGGAUAUACUUAAAAAAGAGAUUACUUCGAUUUAAUAAAGGUUAUCAGCUAACUUUAAAUAUAU